rnacentral:rRNA from 1 species
GUGGGGAAUAUUGGACAAUGGGCGCAAGCCUGAUCCAGCCAUGCCGCGUGUGUGAAGAAGGCCUUCGGGUUGUAAAGCACUUUUGUCCGGGAAGAAAUCUUCCAGGUUAAUACCCUGGGAGGCUGACGGUACCGGAAGAAUAAGCACCGGCUAACUUCGUGCCAGCAGCCGCGGUAAUACGAAGGGUGCAAGCGUUACUCGGAAUUACUGGGCGUAAAGCGUGCGUAGGUGGUUCGUUAAGUCUGCCGUGAAAGCCCCGGGCUCAACCUGGGAAUGGCGGUGGAUACUGGCGGGCUAGAGUGCGGUAGAGGGUGGUGGAAUUCCCGGUGUAGCAGUGAAAUGCGUAGAGAUCGGGAGGAACAUCUGUGGCGAAGGCGGCCACCUGGACCAGCACUGACACUGAGGCACGAAAGCGUGGGGAGCAAAAGGGAUUAGAUACCCCGGUAGUCC